GACGGAGGGUGCAAACGUUGUUCGGAUUUACUGGGCGUAAAGGGCGCGUAGGCGGCGUGACAAGUCACUUGUGAAAUCUCCGGGCUUAACUCGGAACUGCCAAGUGAUACUGUCGUGCUAGAGUGCAGAAAGGGCAAUCGGAAUUCUUGGUGUAGCGGUGAAAUGCGUAGAUAUCAAGAGGAACACCUGAGGCGAAGGCGGGUUGCUAGGCUGACACUGACGCUGAGGCGCGAAAGCUAGGGUAGCAAACGGGAUUAGAAACCCUAGUAGUCC
rnacentral:rRNA from 1 species